AUGGUGGAACUUGAAAAAGAAGAGGACCCCUUGGUCCACGACCAAGCCAUGCUGGAUGAUGAUGAUACCGACGAUGACUAUGUGGAGUCAGAGGAUGAUGAUUCGGAGGAGGAAUUGCAGGCUGAACCUUCAAAGAAGGUCGUGUACAACAAGGAGGGGCUCCUUGAGAAGCUCGAGGACAUCGCCUGGCCGGAGAAUGUGGACCGGAUGCACAAGCUCACCGUCGAUCAUGACCAGGGGGAGAAGGUCGAUGUGAACGACGAUCUUACCCGCGAGCUCGCUUUCUACACCCAGGCUUUGGAUGGCACGAGGCAGGCCUUUGAAAAGUUGCAGUCCAGGAAGGUCCGGUUCCUCAGGCCGGCAGAUUACUACACGGAGAUGGUCAAGACUGACACUCACAUGCACAAGAUCAAAGGGAAGCUCCUGUUUGAGAAGAAGAAGAUUGAGGAGGCUGAGGAGAGAAGAAGGCGCGGGAAGAAGCUCAAGGAGAGGGCCAAGGAGAAGAAGGAGAGCAUCGAAUCGAUCAAGAAGUGGAGGAAGCAGAGGCAACAGGGUGGAUUUUCCAAGGGUAAGGAGGACGGGCCAAACCUCAACUUUGAAGUUGAAGAAGGACUCAAGCAACACAAGAAGCAGAGGCCUGGCGUUUCUCCUGGUGAUAGGUCUGGUGGUCUUGCUAAGCGAGGUAAACAAGGAAAGAACCAUAGGUCAAAGGAUUCCAAGUUUGGUCAUGGCGGUCGCAAAGGGAUGAAGAAGCAAAACACUGCUGAGACGACGAAUGACUUCAGAGGAUUUAACAACCAGAAGGGUGAGUCAGGAAACAAGAAGAGGAAGAUGUUUUGA
rnacentral:rRNA from 1 species